rnacentral:lncRNA from 1 species
AAAAAAAAAAGUUAGAUUUUCCAUUUUAAUUUUAGGGAAAAUAUAGAUGUGCAAAAUUUAUAUUAGUACCCUCAACAAAAUUUUAAUCGAUUUAACUUUUUCAAAUUUUGAUAAAGUUUACCAUCCGACUUUUUUGUUAAUUUUUCAUCCUGAUCUUUGUUAAACCUAUAGACGUUGACUCGUACAUCCACUCACCUUUAGGGCUCAGCUCAUUUAAGAAAGUUUGAGCUCGAGUUUAAUUCAAACUCAGUUCAUUUAAAUCCCGUCACAAUAGAUAUCACGCAUGUAAAAUACGUUUACAUGUUUUUGGUAUUGUGUGGCAUGCCAAUUAACAUGUUGGAUAAUCUUAACAUAGUCUAUGUUAUUGGGCAUCACAAGACAAUAAUCCUUUAUUUGAAUAAUUCAAGCACACACUACAUGUAAAGAACCCCAUGUUUUUAAAGUCGUUAAAACAAAAGAGAAAGUGUACAACGUUGGGAGUCGUUUAAUUUUAACAUCUUUUAAAGCAUACCAUUUAUAUGAAUUAAUAUUUAAGACUUAUUAAGCACACCUUGUUCUGUUAUUAAUUUAUUUGACAUACCUUCUCACAUUUACAAGGGAUGAUUUAUUAAUAUUUCAUUCUAGAGAUAUGGCUUUUCGGGUGGAUUGCAGUGGCCUCUUCAACUUGAUGGGCAAUUUCUUUCUUUCCAUAAACAUUUGCAACUUCCUCAAAGUUGAAAUAUUUGGAGUUUGGGAAGCCAAUAUAAGGGUGAUCGAAGAUGGCAUUCGGAGAAGUUGAUGCAUCGUCGUUUUAUGAUUGCUUCAAUCGGUCCAGACGAUACACCAACUUCUGUUAAUUCCAUCUUUAAUCACCCUUAUAUCGAUUUAUCCAAAAUAAAAACGAGCAUAAACUAAAAAUAUAACAAUAACAAAAUAACAAUUAAAAAACUUGAUUAUUUUCUUCUAGCUUUCUACUUACAAAUGAAAAGCCUUUUAUAGGCCUCAUCUCCCUAAUAUUACAAUUGAUAUUAAGGGUUAGUCGGAUUACGAGUUAAUCGGGUUAUGAGUUAAUCAGAUCAUGAGUUAUUUGGGUUAUGGGUUAUUGGGCCGCCACAUGCAUGCAAAAAGUAAGUCAAUUUGAAAACUUUCCACACUAAUAUAACAAAAAUAUCUUCAUUUGACCAUUAUUUACAGGGGUUGCCAUAGUGAAAUAUGAUUUUUAGUCAUUUCCAUCAUGAAAGUCAAAUACUAGCCGAUUUGAAAAUUUUAAUUUUUCAUAUUAAAAUUGUCAAUUUCCAUGGGUUAGCACACGGAAAUUGACAGUUGAAAUUUGUUUAAAUUGACCAAUAUUUGACAUGUAUGUUGAAAACUACUAAAAAUCCAAGUUUCACCAUGUCAACCCCUCUAAAUAAUAACCAAAUGAAGUUAAAAAUCGUAUUAAAUAAGGCCCUAUGAAAUGAGAAUUUAAAUAACCUAAAAAACGGUAUUUAAUAGGAUUUAGAAUUUAGGACUUGCAAAAUAUAUUGUUUUGAUUUUUCUAUAUCAUCAACGGGUAACUAACGGAUAAGAAUCGGAUAAGAAUGGCUUGCAUUUCAUCCAAACUAAUUAUUAGUUAAUUAUUUGAAAAAUGCAGGUGUACCAGAAAAUAAUUUUUUUCCCUCCCUGGCUUAAGGUAAGAACAUAUUCAUGCUGUCUUUUGGGAUGCAUGCCACCAAGUAGUCAAACCACACAUUGCUUAAAGGUUCUCUCAAAGUUUUACUUUUCUUCAACAUGUUUUCUUGUGAUUAUCAACAUGGGAAACACGAUGACCUAAGUAAUUUUGAAUAAAACUAUGUAAUAUUAGUGAGUUGAGGAAUAACGUGAGAUUAUGAGAAAGAAACAAAAAAUUAAUAAAGAAUAUGUAUAUAAAGAAUGUUUUCAUUGAAUUUAUGACAAUUUAACCAUAAUAUGUGAGAAUGACAAUAUAUUUAAAUAUAGCUUGGCAUUGAGCAUGAUGGCCUCACCCUAAUGGCCGGUAUUGUGAUCGGAACGAUCCUAAUCCUUAGUUUGACGCGAUAAUUAGGAUUUCACCACCUAUGUCUCUAAACUAUAACCUAGUCGCGAUGGACCAAUCUGAUGAGCUUCUAGCCUCAAUCACACCCAAGAAACACUUGGCGAUCCAUUCUAGAGCCAAGCGACUAUAUCCCAUGAGAUCGGUCGACCAGCAACAUAUAGAAAAUUCAGUAAAUCCCAAUUUUUUAUGAUUUUACCUAGCUAUUUGGGUGUGUACGUAUGCAUAUCAAUCUAACAAUGUGAACGGUUAUCUAGGCCUUCGUCCUAACGAACCCAUCGCUACCCAUGGAUCAAAAAGAACCAAAAAUCUACGAGCGGGAAACUUGAACAUUCACGGGCAAGAGAAACGAGGGGACAAAGAGCAUCUCUAGAUCCAUGGGGAAAAUAUUUUUGGAGGAAGCCGUUACACAAAUUGAUGCAGAAAGAGAAAUGAUCAUAACUUCUUCUGUAUGCAAAAUUUGACUCUGAUUUUGGGUUUUGUUUUGUGGCGGUGGCAGCAAAUAAUACGGCGGGCGCUCGUGCAAAUUCCAGCUGCGGGGCUGCGGCAUCAUCAUCUUCCUGCGAAUUGGUUGGUUGGUUGGGUUUUAAAUUUUGCUGCUUAGCCCACAUCUCUUUGUCUGUCUCUUUGUGGGUGCGUGGGGUGUCAGCGUCUCCCACGCAUCUCAACUUUCUGUUUGGUUACCUAGCUCCCUCCAGCCUGUGGUCAAACUCUUUCAUCGAUUCCUUUCCUCACUAGAAAUCGGUAAUAUCGAGUUCAAAUUCAGUAAUCGCAAGGACACUACCUGUUAUUAGGCCCGGAUACCAAAAUGUAGAAUAAGAGGAAUGAGUGUUGGGAAGCUUUCUUUCCGGGAAAAGAAGAACUAAUUCAUUCGGUUUGAGUGACGGCGGGCAGAAGAACGAAGUAUCCCAAGUUAGGAAGCUAGGAAAAGGAGCAUACAGACUGUUGGUAGAAGGGUUUAACAUUAGACAAUCUAACAUAUGUUAGGUAUUCUUAACCACAGUCUGAUAAAAUCGUUUUUAGAAUUAGUUUUCGUUCGAUUAAAUUAAGUAGUUUCUUAUUAAAUAGGUUGUAGUUGCGUGGUUAUAGCUAACUCCUGACUUUGUUUCCAAAGAAUUUGAGUUCAAAAUUUGGAAUGAGCAAAUAUCAGAUCAUUUAAUAGCAUCACUGAUCUUACCUAAAUUAAAAAUCGAUAACCCAAAAACGUGUAAGAUGACAUUACUAACUACAGUGUCCGUUCAAUGUGUCACCCUCUUCUACCUAAGUAAUCAUCAUCAACCAGUCGCAAUAUUCCCUCCCUAUUUUGUCUCAUUCAAUUCAAACCCCUUAAGUAUUAUGGGGGUAAUUGCAUUAUUUAUGGGCAUAAUUCCGCCACUAAUCAUUAAUCAAAAUUAAUUAAUAUAUAAUAAGUUAAUCCAAUUUCUUUGUGAUGUUAAUGCACACACCUUAAUUGGUUGGUGGAAUUAAUGGAAGAAGGGGAUCUGGCUAAUCAUUAAGCCGUUUAGUGUUGUGUUUUGUAACAGCAAAUCAUUGACAAGUUUAGUUAGGUAUUUGAUUUGGAUAUUCUAAAACAUGUUACUCCUUCUUUAUAAACUUCAAUGUUUUAUUCACAACUAUCAUAUAGGAUAUACACCAUGAGCAUUUUUGUAACUCAUUGUCGAUAAUUCAAGUUAUUAAGAGGAAUAAGUUAUUGAUAUAAGAUAUCAAAUAUGAAGGUAAUUUGUGGAGUUGGAGGUGGCGUUCUCUGAAUUUUGACACACUGUGUGGCAAGUUUAUGCAAGUUGUGGAUCCUAGAUUUGGAAGCGAAUAUGUAGGUGUUGUGAAGGUUUUGAUAGAAAUUAAUGAUGUUGCAAGAACAUACUUUCAAACACGAAAGGUGAUGUCGUUCCUCCCUAAUAAUUAUAAUUUUUUAAAGCCUUUCAAAAACAGAAAAUUUUCUGAUCCAAAUUGAUGAAUGAGGAUAAUGGUUAGUUUUGAAUUAUUUGACUCGAUUAAUUAGUAUUGGGAACUUGAUUUACAUUUUUUUUGGGUAGAAAAUGGACAUAAGGGUCUUGAUUAUUAACUAAAAUCAUUGCGAGAAAAGCAAACUCCUACCAAAUCUGCACACAAGCAACUCACGACUUCAGUCGGAAAACCAAAAGGAAGAGACUGUCCCCGAUGAAAAAAUACCACCUACACGAUAAACUAAGUGUGCAAAAUGUACACCUCGCGAUCGUGUUUAUAAACCGGAUGCGCUUUCAAAAUACAUGAUAGGUGCGGAAAGUCAUCAGUAGGAGUCCAAAUUUUUUCUUAGAGAAACAAAUUCCUUGUGCCAUUACAUUGUUUAAUGGCACUAGAGUUUUCCAAAUUAAAGGUGAUCGUGAAAGGUCGUAUGUUGAAUAAUUAAAAAACUGUGUAUUAGGUAGAAGGGAGAGGGUUUCAAACGUAGUUGCAUAGUUAAUUGAUUGAUAAUUAUGAUUAGGACCCAUAAUUAACGUAGACGAUGGUGGUUUGCCACCCAAAAUGUCCAUUUUAAUAUUCUCACAGCAAAUUAGUUGUAAGAAUCGUCAACGUUUGUUGCAAUGAUCGUCGACUGACCAAAAUCCAACAUUUUUAUUUUUCAUUAUUUAUUCUUUUACUGCGCAAUAUAUUAAUUACUACUUAAAAAAAAAAAGUUAAUUAUCAUCUGAAAGGCGGCACUAAUGAUCCGUUAGUUAGUUAACAAGGAUUGACUGGAGAUCUAAUUUUUGUGCCAUGUACAUAUAAUAAAAAUUAAACUAGAACACAUGUACAAACAAAUUAUUUUUAAAUAAAUUGGUACUUUCCCCCCAAUAUCAUAUGUAUAAAAAUUAUAAAUUUAUUUACAUCUCUAGUGGCUGGAACAGUAUAAAACAUAUGUAUGGAAAAGUUAGAAUUUUGCUAUUUAAUUAUGUGGCAUGUCUUUUCUAGUAUAUAUAUAUAUCUAUUAAAUACUACAGUAGAAUCAUAGAUACAUGUGUUUUUUUCCAAUAUAUAUAUAUAUAGAGUUCCAUAGUAUAAAUUUAUUAUUAUGAAACAUUUUAUGAUUUAGGAUUAAUGGUCGUAAAUUUUUUUCAUUUGUUCAUGUUUAUUUAAGGUGGACAAUAAGAGGUGAUGGACUGUUAGGUUCAAGAAUUAUCGUUUAUAUUUCAGUUUGGUGUUGUGAAAAUUUCUCACUAAAGUAGUGAGCUUGAUAAUGAAGUAGGAUUAGUAAAGAAAUAUAAGAAAUGGACAAAUGGUACAAUCUGAAUUUAUGAGAGUCGGAGCUGUAUUUAUAGUAUGACACACGAACAAGUCAAUCUCAUCUCAACAAUUUAAGUGAUCAGAGCGAUUCUAACAAUUAUCAAUUAACUUAGGAUAAUCCACUAGAAUUCUCGUAAAUCAUCGAUGGACUAAUUAGUCCUUUCUUUGUAGGCAUUUGUACGUGUUUGGUCGCUUAAAAGCUGCUAGCUAUGAGAUUAGACACUAACUAACUAGAACCCGCGCAUAUUCAAAUCAUCAAUCCAACAAUGUUAGACCCUUUAUCUGAAACUUUGCAACAACGUAUUACUAUCAACAUCCAAUCCAUAAUUUCAUGGGACGUCUCAAAUAGUUGCCAUCUGAUCACAACUUGGUUUGAGCUCAAGUAUGAAACCUAGUCAAAAUGACUGUUGUCUUCUUACAUGAAACACAUCGACACAGAAAAAAAAACAUAAGCUGUGAUCUUCUGGCGGUUUCCAUAUCCAUUAGUUUGUAGAUUCUGAUGAAUCCAGUUCUUGUUCGAAACUUCCAUAUCCAUUCAUCUCUUUGUCGAUACCCUUUAUGUCUCUUACCGUAACCGACGGGAUUUAUGAGGCAUCCCGACAUUGUAAUUUGUACAUCGUUAGUUAUAGGGGAUCGGAUAUAUACAUGCUAUAAUAAUAUUAUUAUGAGAUCUAGACUCGAGAUUUAUUAUAUAUGGGAUCUCCGAUCAUCAUGUAACGAUCACUGUAAAAUUGUCAAAAGUUAAUCCAAUUCAACCUAAUCCAACAUUAAUUUGAGUGAUAUCUAAUAUGGUUGGGCUCGUAAGCCGUCCAAUUCAUCAUAACUUGAUGAAUCAUGACCUGAUUAAUCAAACAUGCAAGUAAUGAAUUGAAACAAUCAAGAGUAUUCCGAAUAAACCGAAUCCGACCCAGUAUUGAAAUUUAGCUCGAGUAUACUGUGAGUGGCUGAAAAUUAUGGACACUUAUCAAAAGACAAUUUUGGAUACCUUCUAUACAUCAAUAAAUAAAAUAAAACAAAAAUAUCAUAAAAAUUAGUAUAUAUAUAGUUCAUAUUCUUUUUUGAGUCAAAGCAAUAUCUUGGUUGAUGAGAUGAUGGGAGUGUUGAUUGUAGGCCAAUAGUGUUCAUGGAAGGAAUGGAACUAAUUAACUUUUUGGGCCACUUUUUUUUUCCAAUUAUUAUUAUUAUUAAAUAUAUAUUUAGUCUAUUUUUAGUCAUUUUUUAGAAUAUUGGACAAAUGGUGGAAGACAAACCUCAUAAAAACCUACACCCACGAGCGCUCUGAUGUGACGAAAUUGACCCCCCGCAAAAUAUGGGGGGAUGUGACACGUGUCGUCACUGGAAAGCCUGUGGAGACUAGUGCUACUACUGAUGGAGAAAAGAUCUCUCAUUUUCUUCUUCAUAAAACGUUAGUUUUGUUAGUGAGUAUGGCUCAGAAUUUGUGAUGCUGGGAAAAGGAUGGGAUUUUGCUUUUAUGGGCACUUUUUUUAAUUUAAAAUUUUUCAAUUUUAUUUUGUGUGUGGAUAAUGCUUGAAAAAAAUUUGUUGCAUGAUUGUUUUUACGAUAAUUAUGAAUAAAUUGGUUUAUUUUUCACGUCCUUCUUGUUAACUCAUGGAUUUGAUUCACAAUAGUAGAGUGUUGGCACUCCCUAGACGUGUGACAUAUCAACUACAAUGCGCAAUGAAAAUCAAUCUAACUGCAAAUGUACUCACUGGCCUUUCUCUAAAGCGAUAUUAAAUCUAGUAAGAUCGGCCUUAAUUAUGCCCGGGGAUGGGUGAUCAGAUUACACACACCGAACCUCAAACUGGAUGUUGAUAAGAUACAUCCAAACAAUCUCGAAUCAAGUUGAACGUAUGAGCGCCGAUUAAGUUUCCAAUUGACCAUCAUUAAUUAUAGUAAUUAUGGUAGUGUGAGAAGAGACACAAGGAUAAUGAUCACUCAUUGGUAAAGUAAUAGUACCAAAAUCGAUUAAACAACAAACAAUAAGUAUAUAAUUGCACAAGUAAACAGGUUGACCAUCACCUAUUCUCUUAUAUUACACAUUUUUUUAAAAAAGUGAUAGCUCUAUUCGAGUAAAAUAGAAGAAUAGUUGGUCAAAAUUAAAUUAUUUGUAGCUUAUAAAUCUAUUUAAAUUGCCAUAUCCUUUUUUUAUUUGCCCCAAAAGCUCAUGUCUUUUUGUUCGCAGAGUUGUCUGAUGAUUUAACUAAAACCCAACAACAUCAUGUUUGUUCGUUUAAAUUGUUAAAUCUUGUUUUUUUCCAGUUCGAUUAUAAUUUAAUGGGAAAAUCUAAGGGGAAAAUGAUCCAUCUAGGUCAUUAAAAUAGGGGAAAAGUGACAACUAAGNNNNNNNNNNNNNNNNNNNNNNNNNNNNNNNNNNNNNNNNNNNNNNNNNNNNNNNNNNNNNNNNNNNNNNNNNNNNNNNNNNNNNNNNNNNNNNNNNNNNNNNNNNNNNNNNNNNNNNNNNNNNNNNNNNNNNNNNNNNNNNNNNNNNNNNNNNNNNNNNNNNNNNNNNNNNNNNNNNNNNNNNNNNUAUUUUUUAUAAGAAAAAGUACUCAUUGCAACAUCUCUCGAUUUCAUUCGUGAUCCAUACACUACUUUAGUUUCAUGGUACAGCUAAAGGUCACUUGUUUACUUAAUUAUAUUUAAUGGAAGUGAGAUGUGAUGUUGGUGUUUUAACCUUUGAUUACCACUUAAUCACUAGAGUGCUAGUUCGAUGACCGAAAGAAAAAAGUAAUAAAUAUUGUUACGAAAUUAUAUUCACGUAUUAUUAUUACCCAAGGAAUUAAUAUAUGGUUUAUGAAUAAUCAUCAUCGGAAUAGAAUAAUAUAAGAUAAUAUCAUCAUUUAGUGCGUGAAUCAGAAUUGGUCAAACAGUUAGUAAUAUGUAAUCCAUAUUCAAAUAAAUGAGUGAACGUUCGUUUAUUAAUAAAGUCAAAAUCAUUAAAGAGAAUAAUCACUUAUAUGUUACAAGAGACAAUUAAAAUUAAUUAAAAAUAAAAUUGAACUCAAAAUGAAUAUGGCCAUAGUCCAACCUCAACCAUUUUCAUGUCUAGCUAGCUAGUUACUACUACACGAACCAUCUCAUCAAACCAAUCACAAACAUAUACUUAAAUCAAAUAUGAAUCGAACAUCACAAAAGAACACACAAAUGUACAAACCUUAAAUUAAAUAUGUCCAUCGUCUCAUUUUCAUGUCCAACUAGUACAUCCUGCUACUCAGGCCCACCCGAAAAUCAAACACGAAUCACAAACCACAAAAGAAACACAUAAGCCAAGUAAAUACUACUCAAUGGUGCUUUCGUCAUGGCGUUUGACAGGUGGAUAUUGAGGGUAACGCGAAGUUAGUCCUUAUCUGGCUGAAGUAGCAGAGCAUCCGAUGUGUGGCGGGCUGCGCCACCAUUCCAGAGAUCCUUGACUUUUUAAAGGUUUGUCAUCGUCUUCAGAUGAAGGUCCUCCAGCGAAUUGCUAACGUAACUGGCCACUCAAUGACGAGAAAAACUCUUGUACGUCUCUCUAUCAGUUAUGGAGAUUAAUCUCGCUAUCUCAAUCAAUAUUUAACUUUAUAAUGUUGUCUGCUAUCUAAAUUUUUCUCAUGCCUACUUUAAAACAAAUCGGGUCAGAUAAAACCAAAAAUAAACCAACCCAAACUAAAGCUAGGAGAGACUUAGGAGAGGGAGAAAUUGAAGGUGGAAUAAGGGUGAGAGAGGGACCCUCUUUUGCCCACCACCGCCCAUAAGCAAACAAGCACACAGUCUCUCUUGUACCCUCUGAAAUCUGAAUCUCUCCCCCUCUCCCCCACCACACUAGCACCACCAUCAAUCACCACCACUCCAAUCCUUAAUCCAACCCAUCCCCAACCCUAGAAAAAACAACCCCACACCAACCCAUCAAUUAAAAUAAAAACCCAACUCAACUCCCCCCUUUUCUUCCCCAUCUCUCUCUCUCUCUCAAACUUCUUCUCUUCUUUCAUCUCCAUCUUCAUCUUCUUCUUCUACUUGAUCUCCCCCAAACCCCCACCAACACAACCUCUAAAUUGAUACCCAUCCCACCCUUAAAGUAUGACCCAUAUGAUUCUUCACUAAUUCCCCAUCAACCCAUCUCCAAAGAUCAAAUCUGUACUCUUCUCCCCUCCCAACAAAGAUCAAGUCUAGUCACUAACCCAUCUUAAAAAAGAUUCAAACUUUGCCCCCCCCCCCCACACCACGUCUGCCUCCAACACCCGCAACACAACAGCUCUCUAAUGCAGCGCACCACNNNNNNNNNNNNNNNNNNNNNNNNNNNNNNNNNNNNNNNNNNNNNNNNNNNNNNNNNNNNNNNNNNNNNNNNNNNNNNNNNNNNNNNNNNNNNNNNNNNNNNGUCACCAACGUCGCCCUCCGUCAACCAGCUUCUCCCGGAGCCGUGGUCACCCUCCACGGCCGAUUCGAGAUCUUAUCCCUAGCGGGUUCUUUCCUCCCGCCGCCGGCACCUCCUGCAGCCACCGGGCUGACGAUCUACCUCGCUGGAGGGCAGGGUCAGGUGGUAGGAGGAAGCGUGGUGGGCACGCUGACCGCUUCGGGUCCGGUAGUCAUCAUGGCGGCGUCGUUUAGCAAUGCGGCGUACGAGCGGCUGCCUUUGGAAGAGGAGGAGCCGCCGCAGAUGGCGGCGGCAGGACAAGGCGGAAUCGGCUCUCCGGGAGGAGGAGUGGGGUCCACCACCCCAAGUCAACAGCAGCAGCAACAACAGCAGCAGGUCAUGGGUAGUGGAACCGGGUCGGGCGACCCGAAUGGAGCUCCGCUUUUCCACGGGUUGCCGCCGAACUUGCUGAAUUCAAUCCAAUUGCCUGCGGAUGCUUACUGGGGCGGCGGAAACGGUAGCGGCGGCGGUGGAGGACGUGCUCCUUACUGAAAUCAAAUCCAAGUAAUUGGUUAUUAAUUAUUAGUCAAACCAUUUUUCGAUUUCGCGCUUCUUCUUCAUCUUCUUUCUUCAAAUUCGAUGUUAGCUUAGUAGUAAGCUCUCUUCUUUGUUUUUUUUUAAUUAUGGAGGAUGAUUAAUUAGUUUUUUUUUCUUCUCCUUCUAAUUUGAAUCUUGUUGUUGUUGUUAAUGUUGUUUGCUGGGUUUGUGUCUGGUUUUUUUUUUGUUCCUCUGCAUUUUGGUUCGUAUGUUAAGUGGAUGGAUCCAUGAUUGUUUUGUUGAUGGGUUUAGAUGGGGAAGGAUUUUGUACAUGUUUUGUUUUCUGUUACCACGACUUUGGGUUAAAAUUAAUUAGUGGUAAAUUUUAAUUAAAAUUUACUGUUUUGUUGAAGAAUCUUUGAAGCAAAUGUAUGAUUUUCCCUACAGCUUGUUUAAUUUUGAUUUCUACCAUCUACAUAAAUGCGGAACAACGAACACGAGAGCCAAUGAGAUUGAUUUGAUUGAUGGAUUAUGAUUAUUUCUUGGAUCAAUAUCCAGAGACCACGUUAUUAUGAGUAUUAAUUAAGCUUAAGAUUUUUAGUCAAGUAUUUUUGGUACCCAUUAACACAAAUUAAACCAAUCAUUUGAUUACUCUAAACCUUAAUCCUCAUUUGUCUUGGAUGUUAGGAUAUGAUCUUUACAAGCAUUGUCGUCCAAAAUUAGAUUUCAACUACUACUUACUGACCUAAAAAUCCUUUAUUGAACUUAGAAUGCUACUAGGCUUCAUACACUUAACACAUGUAUAUAGCUAGAGUCGUAUAAAAUCAACCUGGUUCGACUGGAUCGAAAACCUUCUGUCCGUAUAAUAUGAUGACACGAAACUAGCUUAGCUAGUAAGAUCUUGUGUGUGUAUAUAUAGAGUCGUACUGAACUGUUCGAAAACCUUCUUCCUAAUAUGACAUGAAACCAGCUACUAAGAUCUUGUGUAUGCAUAUAGAGUCGUAUCACCCGCUGGUUCAACCGGGUUUCAGAGACCUUGUUUCUAAUAGGACACACAAAACAAGUUAGUAGAUAAGAUCUUGCUUAUAUAUAUAGAGCCAUCCAACCAGGUUUAACCAGAUCCGAAAACCUUAUUUCCAAUACAAGAAGGAACUAGCUAGCUAGCUAGCUAGUAGUAAGACGGAUGUUUCCAUCUCCACACUACUGGCCAAGUGUGGAGAACCUUACUCGAGCCUUCAAGAAAGGAUUCAUAAUGGUUUUUAAGUUGUGUUUGGUAUUUUCCCAAGAAAUGAAGGUUAGAAUUAUGAUAGAUAGAUGUGUGUGGGCAUAGAAGAGGGAGGGAGGGGGGGGGCUGGCAAAGGGAGGGUUUCAAGGAAUUAGGAGAAGGUGAGUGAGUGGUGACAUUAUAACCAAUUUACGAGGAGAAGCAAAUGGAAGCAAGGAGCAGAGAUGAAGAUAGAUGAGAAAGAAAAAGAGACAGUGAGGUAUGGGCUUGAAUGAAUUCUGCCUAUGUCUCUAUCUCUUUCUUCCUUAAUCUUCUUCUUCUUCUUCCCUUCUUCCUCUUGUGGGGUUGGUGGGUGUGACUGUGAACUUCUUACACACGUGCACUGACUCUGAACUUAGCUCUUUUUCGAGGCAAAACCCACGUACCACUCUCACUUGCUUACUUGCCCUUUUCCCCCAAGCUCCCAAUUUUUCUUUCUUUUCGGGGAGCAGGUGAAGCUAUAUUUUCAUAGCUUCUUUCUCCACCCCAAACAAGACAGAACCCCUUUUGUGACAGGUUUGAGAUUCUAUCCAUCUCUCUGCGUCUUAGUUCCAUAAAUGCCAAUGCUACAAAUCUUUCCAUUUGGAUAUCAAGGCUUGUUGUUGUCGGUUGUUAUAUAGGUGGUGCAUGCUUAAGUACAAUGUUGUGAAAUAGGGUGAUAACGUGGAUCUACAGUAUUCCAACGAGUGUGAGGUGAAAGAUGGUAGAACGAUCGAAUCGGUAAGUUUGGACAAGGUAUCGAGUUCAAUCAUCGACUCUGUCAUAUAUUUUUGGUGUUAAUCGAGAGCUGGUUAGUUAAGAAUAUUUUCAUACUCGACAUGUUUGAAUGACAUACCGUAGCGAGAUUGCCCACAAUGCGAUAUUGGUUUUAACAACAUGGACGUACGUGGUUGAUUAUAUGUGUGUGUGUUUGCUGGACUCGAUAUCAAAAUUGAAUAUGUCACACGGAUGUUAAAGUCUAUGUAAUCACGAUGCAAGAGAUAAACUUGAAUCAGAGUUGCUGCUCGAUUUAAUGACAUUUAGCUUGAGUGUAUUAACAAGAGUUACAAGUAGCAGAAAAUGGUGAGAUUUAAGUGAAACAGUAAAACCCUAAGAUAGCCAGAUGUUGUGUCCCUUUGGUCUACUUCUUCUCAGGCAAAUAGAACUAACUACAUAUGCAUGCAUGCGGCUACAGUACUCUAACGCUAGCUAGUCCACAGAUUUGAUUAUAACUACUGUAUCUCGAUUCCCAUGCAUAUCCUUCUGAUAGAAGAUUAAACAUUGAGAUUCUAAGUUUUCUCUAAGUGGGUUUGUGAUAUGAGUAACAGUAAAUGCAAAGACCUUAUCUAAUAAGUAGAUAAUCCUAAAUAAAUUACCGCUUAGGUGGGCGGGCGUUGUGCUCCGUCAGGAGAGAACGGUGAUCGAUCAAUGAGUGGUUUGAUUUAGAGAAUUGGGUUGAAUGUUGAUUUGUUGCUCUUCUUAGGAGAUUCUUUGCAAGGCAUAUGAAAAUUGAUUUGUAAGUGGUAGUAUGAGAGGGCAUUAAGGGAUGUAAGAGAGGAAUGGAAGACAAAGAAGCACCAAUGUGUGCCCGGAGGCGUGUGGACUUAAGACGAUUUAACUUGAUAAGAUGUUUAACAUUACGCAUACAUGGUGAGUAUAGUGUAUGUAUUUAAUGAUGGAUAUUCUCUUUUCUUACACAGUAUCGAGGGUCGGGUCGGGUUGCCAUAGUUUUGCCGAUUGGUUGAUGAUCAUUUUGAGAUUGGAUCCAUGUCUUUGAUGAUGAAUGAUUGAGAUUGCUUAUAGGGUAUAGGCUUGAGCCUAGUUGCCCUAGGGAUGCGGGUUGGGUCUCUAGACUUGGGCGAUUUUCUUGAUAUCUUGGGUUUAGCUUGAAUUAAACAGUUAAAAAGUUGGAUGGAAUUUAAAUGACAACGGGAAAGUUCGCUCCCUAAUAUUUUUCUGUGUUCUAACUUUCUUAUUAAACCGAAAAAAUAUUUAAAAUUUCAUUUAACUUCCCCACCGAGCCAAAACAAGCUUAUAUGGAGAAAGAUAUUUAAUUUUGCUGUAUAAUUUUUAUCAAUAUAUUUAAGGUAUUGGAUAUUGUGACAAUUCCUCGUUUUUGAGAAUUGAUUUUCCUUCCCAAUAAAAUUUACCACUUACCAUUUUAUGGCAAAUAUUGUGUGUACGCAUAUUUAGAGCUAACCUCAAAUGAUUUGUGUUAGUAUCGAGAAUGAACAUGGUUAACCGUUUAGUUUGAAUCCAACAAAAACAAAAUGUAGAAAACGAUAGUUUGAUUUUAGAGAGAAAUAAAAAUUAGAGAGAAGUGCCAACAAAAUUUGGCUGAAAUGUAAUUAUUAAAUAGUAAGUUCGAACGGUAAUGUCUCUUAUUUAUGAAAAAACGAACGAUUGGUCAAUAAUUCAUCGGAUCAAUCAUUUAAUGCUCAGAUACGUCAAUUUUAUCAUCAUUUAAUGCUUGGCCCUCAAGUGAUUUGGCCAUACUUUAGAUUUAUAUACAUCUAAAUAUAAAUAUACGAAGCAAUUUAUAAUAUUAAUGUCCAUAUAUAAAACGUGUUGAAUUCAAACUCAAUAUUUUCAAAUUACUAACACAUAACGUCACCAACUCCAAUACAAUUUGUGAUUUCGUGCUCAUUUCUUUUAGUUUCUGAUUUGCUAAAUUUAGUUCUUGGGUGCAAAAAUCGAACCUUUGCACGAACCUGAGGCUUCGGGAGAAAGGCCACUCAGUUAUAGUUUAGUGGCGGACUUGGGGCAUAAAACCCAUAGAGAAACCACUUAUAUGGGCUUAAAGCCCAACCAAUGUCCUCAUAUGGCCCUCUUUUUUCUAGAUUUGAAGAGGUGCAAUAGGCUGCUAUUGCCAAAGUUUGAAAGUAUUCCUCAGCCAUUCUUAGGAGCAGCAACAAUGUACCAAGUCCACUUUCGAACUUUCAAGAUUCCCAUGCACACCAAAGUUAUUGAGCACAUAACCAUAUUUGAUUAUUAGGUUUGAUCUUGUCAAUCAAGAAACAGAAUUAGAUUCCAUCAUAUCAAACCUUUAGUCCAUCUAUAUAAAUCAUCCAAGGAUACACAAAACCAACAUCAUCAUACAUUAUCUGGGUUCAGUCCAUCUGUUCUCAAACACAAACCUUAAACACAAUAAACCAAUGUCAUCCAGAAGGAAUCAUCGUCAUCACUAUAGCCGUGAAGCAGCAGCAGCAGCCUCCGAUGACUACGGUUACUGCCAUUAUCCUGUGAAAAGGCGAGAGAUAGUGGCAGCAGCUCCACCGGCCAUCGUCUGUGUUAGGCUUGGUGGUCAUAAGAUUUGCAGUGACAACGUUGACACGGUAGCUGAGGAGUUCAUCAAAUGGGAGCACAGGAAGUUCGAAGCCAGCAAAACCAUGUCCGUUAACUAUGGCUAGGAAAUCACUUGUACAAUAAAGCUUAUAUUUUGAUGGGUCUAGAACUCCGAUACUAUGUACUAUGAAAUCCAUGGUUUUGAUGUAAUGUAACAGUAAAUUAAACAGUCUGGGAUAAUGUAACUUGUCGAAAAUCCAUAUGCAUCACAAUGUAACAAUAUGUUUCAUUUCAGCUUGUAGAAACAACUAACCAAAUGAGAAGCCUCUGUAAAAAAUCAUCUAACGUGCUCGUUGAGCACGCUACACGAACAAGAAAGAAAAGAACUACCUCAACUCACCACCCAAUUCGGAGGGGGAUGCGGAAUGGUCAAACGAGAAAACUCAAAGGAAAGAAAUACCGUAUUAAUCGAUGGUUCGGAAACCAUCGACUUAUAAACUUAUAGAGGAUCGUCUACAGUCACGCUUGUAAUCUUUGUGUCUUUGAAUUGGUGUCGCCACCAUCCACUGCUGCCACAGCAGUUUAAAAGAUUCCUUCUUUCGAUCUGUUUGAAGAUAUACUGAUUCAAUAACGGUUCGUUCGUGUUGUCAAUAUAUUGUCAAUUCAGCCUACUUGGAAAAUAAUAAAACAAAUGACAUACUAGUUUAUCCAAUCUAUAAUUAAUCCCCAUAAUAGAUUUCACACUAAAUUUCUCGAGACAGUUUGAAAAACUCUCUUGGAUGACCCGAACGUUGUCUAGACAGAGUUUGUUGGAAUAAUAUGGUGAUUGAUUUGUAAGGUUUGGAACUUGGGUGAUCAGUUUGCUGAAAGAAGAAAGUUGGGUGAUUGAUAUGAGGAAAUAAAUGAGUUGGAUGAUUGAAUUGUAAAGUAGGAAAAUGGUGGACUGAAAGAAGUAUUUGGAAAACGGAGUUUGGAUUACAGAGGAAGGAAGCUGCUGCUUUCUUUCUUCUGGAAAAUAGAAAUGGCUGCUGAAGCCUUUUGUUCUUUUGGUAUUGUUUUUAUGUUAUAACUUGGCUUGAUGCUUACAACACAAUGGAGAGGAGCUUUAUCAUACACAACUCAUUGAAACUAUGCAACUCAUUGGAAUUCCAAAUCAAGAUCUCUCGAUCAUUAAAUUAAAAAAUUAAGAGCUCUGAUUUUACUGGUCACCGAGGAGGGAGUGGAGCUUGAUAAUGAGAUCUUCUUCGUCCUCGCCGAAUUUACGACGCCGUUUCAUGUCGUCCUCGUCGACGUCUGGUACUUUUGAAGUCGAAGAUUCCAUCCCUCUGAGCCGACACCUCUUUCCACAGCCUUGGGCGCCAUGGCUGGUCGCUUCUUCAACUUGUUUGCUAUUGCUGACUUGUUUGAAAAUGGCGUCGUUCUCAUAAGGGCUCAUAGUUAGUGCUUCACUAAUCGUCGAAUGACGGGUGUGAAAGUGUAUAUUUCGAUCUUGGAUCUCGCGUAUUUAUAUGUAUACACUGUACAGAGACUGAAGAGCUAGAGGAAGAAUGAUGGGUGCAGUGCACAUGCAAAAGAGGAGGCAAAAGCAUGCAAGCAAGCAUGGAAACUAAGGGGUUGAACGGUGGUGGUUUUGGGAGGCUAGCUUGCUUAUGUGGAAAAUGAAUAAUAUUUGAUUUGAAAAUUGAAUUUUUUUAAAAUUAAUUAAUAUUUGAUAAGUAUGUUGGAAAUGGUUAAAUAUUAAGGUUUUAUUAUGUUCAAUUCUAUCAAUAAUAGUUAAAUGAAGUUAAACAAAUUUCUCAAUAUGCUAAAAUAACGAGUAAAAUUGAUUUUUAACUACGCUUGAUCAUUAUUUAUAGGGGUUACCAUAAUUAAACUUAAUUUUUUAGUCAUUUCCAACAUGCAUUUUAAAUAUUAGUCGAUUUAAAAUUUGUGAUAUUUUCUUGUGAAAAUGGUUAAUUUCCACACGUUAACCCCUUUGGAAAUUGACAAAUUUGACAUGAAAUUUUUUUUUUUUAAAAUUAGCUAAUCUUUGACAUGCAUAAUGGGAAUGACUAAAAUUUGAGGUUUCAAAAUGUUAAGCCCUUCAAAUAAUAGGCAAAUAAAGUUAGAUAAUAUUUCUUCACAUGAUUAAACAAUAUCAAGUUAAUAUGAUUUUAAAAUUCAUAAUCCAAUUAUUUCAGAGGUCAUUAUGAUUGAAACUUAGCUUUUAAGUUAUUUCCAACAUGCAUGUCAAAUACUAAUCGAUGUGAAAAUUUGAAAUUUUCAUGUCAAAAUGGUUCAUUUCCAUAGGUGUUCCCUUUGGAAAUUGACAAAUUAUGAGGUGAAAUUUAUAGGUAUUACCAUAAUGAAACUUGAUUUUAAAUCAUUUCUAACAUGCAUGUUAAAUAUUAGUUGUUAGGUGUGUUUGGUAACCUGGAGGUCUAGAGUUCGAAUCCAAUCACACCUCAUAAAGAAUAUCAUGUUAUAUUUAAUUGCUUAUUUCUUGUUGAAUGAUUAAUCUAUCGGUCUUCCGCCUCAUGGUUAAGAGAUGAUCAAGUUUGAUCUUUCUAAACCUUCGAAUUUGAAUGAAAGAUAGGAUGCAGUUAUAUCUCGAUCAUAUAAAAUAAAACUUAUUUUAAAUUUAAUAAAAUUUCCAAUCAGCAAAUAAUUAUUUCAUUACACGCGUAAUAAAGUUUACAGAAACAAACGACUCCCAUACAAACGAAAAAAAAAGAAAAAGAAACGCACACAAUACUAUUAUUACUUCCACAAUUUCCUUUAUUCAAAUGUAACAGAAUAAAUGAACAAUGGUCAUGGCAUGGUCCAUUUGCGGUUGCCUUUCAUGAAUAUCGUUCUUAAUAUCGUACAAAGAAGCCUUGAUUACGACUCGAUCCCCUAGGCAAAUUCGUUAGAUGGCAUGACAUCCUUGUGGUACUGGAAGACUUGAUGAAGCUAAGACUCGAUUCCCUUGGCAAAUUCGUUGGAUGGCACGACAUCCUUGUGGUACUGGAAGACUUGAUUAGGUUGUGUCUCGGUCCCAACCGCAAAUUCAUUAGAUGGCACGGCAUCUUUGUGGUAUUGGAAUACUUGAUUAGGUUGCGACUCGAUCUCCUUGAAACCUUCAUUUGAUGGCACGACAUCCUUGUUGUACUGGAAGACUUGAUUAGGUUGUGACCCGAUCCCUUUGGAAAAUUCAUUUGACGGCACGACAUCCUUGUGGUACUGGAAGACUUGAUUAGGCUGCGAUUCGAUUCCCUUGGCAAAUUCGUUGGAUGGCACGAUAUCCUUGUGGUACUGGAAGACUUGAUUAGGCUGCAAUUCCAUCCCCUUGGAAAAUUCAUUAGAUGUCACGACAUCCUUGUGGUACUGGAAGACUUGAUUAGGCUGCGACUCGAUCUCCUUGGCAAAUUCAUUAGAUGGCACGGCAUCCUUGUGGUACUGGAAGACUUGGUUAGGCUGCAACUCGAUCUCCUUGGCAAAUUCAUUAGAUGGCACGGCAUCCUUGUGGUACUGGAAGACUUGGUUAGGCUGCAACUCGAUCUCCUUGGCAAAUUCAUUAGAUGGCACGGCAUCCUCGUGGUACUGGAAGACUUGAUUAGGUUGCGACUCGGUCCCUUCCGCAAAUUCAUUAGAUGGCACGAUAUCCUUGUGGUAUUGGAAUACUUGGUUAGGUUGCGACUCGAUCUCCUUGGAAAAUUCGUUGGAUGGCACGGCAUCCUUGUGGUACUGGAAGACCUGAUUAGUAUCACAACGUACAUCGGCGUGAUCAGAGUUUGCAGCAGGCAGUAGGGAUUCGAUUGCUUUGGGCAUAAGCUGAUCUUUCAUCACAGAUUUCCAGUAACCCCCUAUUGAGUCUUUUCUUGCAUUGAC